CCGUCGGCGGGAGGCUCGCACACGCAGUCCAUACCCACGGCCGCCGUGACCGCGCCGAGCCACUGGCGAGACCGACCCGCGUAUCG
rnacentral:ncRNA from 1 species